rnacentral:rRNA from 1 species
UACGUAGGGUGCAAGCGUUGUCCGGAAUUAUUGGGCGUAAAGGGCGCGUAGGCGGUCAGCACAAGUCAGUUGUGAAAUCUCCGGGCUUAACCCGGAAAGGUCAACUGAUACUGUGCGACUAGAGUGCGGAAGGGGCAACUGGAAUUCUCGGUGUAGCGGUGAAAUGCGUAGAUAUCGAGAGGAACACCUGCGGCGAGGGCGGGUUGCUGGGCCGACACUGACGCUGAUGCGCGAAAGCCAGGGGAGCGAACGGG